UACUUGUACCUGCAGGUUAGGCUUGAAGUGAUGGGAAAGAAGGCAAAGAAUGCAACCAACAUUUCUGGAAAUGAGGCUGGGAAAAUUUCCAAAGAGAUUUAGAAAGUGGAGAAGAGAAGGAUUGUUAAGAGUACUCUUUGCAAUGAAAGAAGUUCUCGGAGCCAUUGCAUGGUAGCCUUUGAAGUCCGAACAGUAAGAGGACGCUUGAUGCUUGUGGACAUGGCUGGCUCUGAAAAUAUUGAGCAAGCUGGCCAAGUUGGAUUUGAGGCAAAAAUGCAGACUGCAAAGAUCAACCAAGGAAACAUAGCUCUCAAAAGAGUGGUUGAAUCCAUUGCCAAUGGUGAUUCUCAUGUGCCUUUCAGAGACAGCAAACUGACCAUGCUUCUACAGAAUUCUUUCGAAGAUGUAAAACAAAAAAUUUAGCGGUACUGUGUGCAAGCCCAGACCCAGAGGAAAUACACAAGACAAUCUCCACCCUUGAAUAUGGUGCAAAAGCAAAAUGUAUUGUCCGUGGUCCUCAUACAAUAAUUAUUAAUCAAGGAUAAAAUUGGGACUGAAGAUUCAUCUGCUGCUAUUUUAGGAUCAAGGAUUGCUGCCAUGGAUGAUUUCAUCCUUAAACUGCAAAGGGAAAAUAAGCUCAAAGAGAAAGAGCGAAAUGAAGCACACAGGGAGUUACAGAAGAAAGAAGAGGUUGCUGCACUGAGAGCUAAACUUGAGCUUAUGGAAGGGACGAGAUCUGGGAAAAAGGAGGAAGAAAUCAACUUGAAGGUGACUGACCGUGAGUUGGAAAAGAAGUUGAAGGAAUGCCAGCGUAUGGCAAAUGAGUUUGUUGAAUUGGAGAUGAGGAGAAUGGAAGAAAGGAUAUUGCAGCAGCAGCAGGAAGCUGAAAUGCUGAGGCGGCGGUUGGAGGAAAUUGAGCUUGAGCUAUGCCGCUCAGGUGAUGGAAAUGGUAAGGAGAGUGGGACGAAGGACCAUGAUUGAACCCAGUUUGCCAAAAGGUUGUUAGGGAUCUAUGCCAGUGAUGAUGCAGGAGGAAUGGUAGAGUCAAUGGAUUUGGACAUGGGUGAUCAAGAACCUUUUGCUCGUGAGGUGAAAUAUGUAGGUGGGGUUGCUUAUCAAUUUGACAGCAGUAUUGUAAAUGCUGUAAACAUUGAUACUUUUGAACCAAAAUAUGCUGAUAGGGUAUGCCUAAGCACUGUUUUUGAGGAAGAAGAAAUGGAAGAAGAGGAAGGACUUAAGGAAAAUGUGGAAGCUGAAGAAGUGGAGAAAGAAGUUAUACAGGAAUAGAGAGUGUGCAUGGUUGAUGGGUCUAGCCUCCAGAGUAAUUAUAAUAUGGGAUCCCUGACAUCUUUACCUAAGGAUUAUCAACAUACACCAACUGUGAAUCGGCCAAGCAGAAAUCCAGGGGAAGAAGAUGGCAAGGGGGGACCAGAUAAUAGGUUUGUCAGGAUCCGCAACAUAUUUACACUAUGUGGAAACUACAGAGAGCUCUCUCAACAUGUGACAACUCCAGCACCUACUGUUGCAUCAGUUAAAUAAGAAAAUGAGCAGAAACUGACAGAAGAGUUGAACAAAAGUCGAGUAUGUGAUGAGA